rnacentral:rRNA from 1 species
UAGGGAAUCUUCCGCAAUGGACGAAAGUCUGACGGAGCAACGCCGCGUGAGUGAAGAAGGAUUUCGGUUCGUAAAACUCUGUUGUUAGGGAAGAAAAAAUGUAUAGUAACUAUAUACAAAAGAGACGGUACCUAACCAGAAAGCCACGGCUAACUACGUGCCAGCAGCCGCGGUAAUACGUAGGUGGCAAGCGUUGUCCGGAAUUAUUGGGCGUAACGCGCGCGCAGGUGGUUUAGAAAGUCUGAUGUGAAAGCCCACGGCUCAACCGUGGAGGGUCAUUGGAAACUAAUAAACUUGAGUGCAGGAGAGAAAAGUGGAAUUCCUAGUGUAGAGGUGAAAUGCGUAGAGAUUAGGAGGAACACCGGUGGCGAAAGCGGCUUUUUGGCCUGCAACUGACACUGAGGCGCGAAAGCGUGGGGAGCAAACAGG